GUCGGCUCUUCCUAUCAUUGUGA
rnacentral:ncRNA from 3 species